UGGGGAAUAUUGGACAAUGGGCGAAAGCCUGAUCCAGCAAUGCCGCGUGAGUGAUGAAGGCCUUAGGGUUGUAAAGCUCUUUUACCAGGGAUGAUAAUGACAGUACCUGGAGAAUAAGCUCCGGCUAACUCCGUGCCAGCAGCCGCGGUAAUACGGAGGGAGCUAGCGUUGUUCGGAAUUACUGGGCGUAAAGCGUGCGUAGGCGGCUAUUCAAGUCAGAGGUGAAAGCCUGGAGCUCAACUCCAGAACUGCCUUUGAAACUAGAUAGCUAGAAUCUUGGAGAGGUGAGUGGAAUUCCGAGUGUAGAGGUGAAAUUCGUAGAUAUUCGGAAGAACACCAGUGGCGAAGGCGACUCACUGGACAAGUAUUGACGCUGAGGUACGAAAGCGUGGGGAGCAAACA
rnacentral:rRNA from 2 species